CUGCUGCUGAUCGCCUGUCACAAAGGCAUGUGUAAGGGGAAAGGCUCAAGAGUAAGCAAUGAGCAAGAAUUAGGUCUUCUAGGUUCUCAGAUUUUGUGCUGGGGGCCUUAGACAAUGAGGUCAACUGGAGAAGGAACAGAUCUCGGUUUUAUAUGGCUGGCUAGUUACACCUUGUCACACCCUGCAGGAAGAAAAUGCCCUUUGUGCGCUAUGUGAUUGAAAAUGAUGCUGCCAGAUCCAUUGAAUAUUUCCAUAUUUUCUGUUUUUUUACUUGAUAAACUUAGAAUUGUGCAUUUAUUUUCACAUCAUUGAUGAUCAAGCUAUCCUAUUCGGCAGGCCUCAAUUCAUUCUCCAAAUCAUGCUGUAUUCCAAGAAGCAGGCCUAUUAAUGCACCUAUGCCUGGGGACAUCUUGAUUGUGUAAAAGCCAUGAAGUCAGCAUAAAGUCCUUCAGCAUUUUCCACACCACCUCCAGUAGAAUUUUGCAACCGGAAGCAACUAUAAAAAACAUUAAAUGACCAAGAAUUGUAGCAACAGCCAGAAGAAAUCAGUUAGUACGUAAUGUGUUUGGAAUUUAUAAUCCUUUUAAAUAGCACUGGUAGGAAAAUGCAUGUUUGGCUUUGUGAAGUUAAGUGCAGCUAUUGGCUGAAGCAUUGAACUGCAAAUUUUCUUGAUCUACCUGCUCUGUGUAAUUCCAUUUGAUAUUUACUUUGUGCCACUAAUGCUUGCAUUAAAUGGCAUACAACAUAAUUUGUUCUACCUUUGCACACCCUCAUAUAUCAUAAAUACCAUUUUGGAGCUCUAAGGAAAUUUGUAGCUCCCCCCUCAAAAAAAAACUCAUUAACCCAAUUUCUUGCUAAGGCUAUGAGUAGAGAAAUCCCACCUCAUACUAAAUAGUGGGCUGUUCCCAAAAAAAUUAAAGUGACGUAAGCCAGCCAAGCUAGGAGUGUGGGGAGCCUACCUGAAGCAUAUAAUCCAGCACUUAGUGGUCAACACUAGAAACAACCCGUUAGAAUAUAUUUAUCAUUUAAAAAUAACUGUCCAUUGUUUAUACCAGGAAUUAAAUCUUCAGGAACCUGCUUUUCUAAAAUUAUUUGAGGCUGACGCUUUUUCUCUGAGGUUUGCGCUGUCCAGUGACCUCUGAAAAUCUGCUCUUAUUUAUCUACAAAUUGUCUGCUAAUCUUGAAUAGUAGAGUCAGCUAAAAUAAGUUAAGCCCUGUACUUGAGGGCAAACAGCUUUCAACGGGAUCUGGUGUCCAAUAGACUUGGAUAGACUUAGAAGAGGUCUAGUGAAGCAGAUAUUAGAAAUUGUGGACAAUUAAAUCAAAAACUUAGCCAAUAUAAAGCAAGCUUCUGCUACUUUGCUUAUAUUCAUCUCAAUCUCUGAGGUAUAAUGAGUUAUCCCCUACUGCUACAAUGAUGUUGUAAUAGCUCAUUUUCUAUUGGCAAGAUAAUUAUGUUCUAACUGCUUCAAAUUAAUUUAC